GGGUUGUGAGGUUAAGCGACUAAGCGUACACGGUGGAUGCCCUGGCAGUCAGAGGCGAUGAAGGACGUGCUAAUCUGCGAAAAGCGUCGGUAAGGUGAUAUGAACCGUUAUAACCGGCGAUGUCCGAAUGGGGAAACCCAGUGCAAUUCGUUGCACUAUCGUUAACUGAAUACAUAGGUUAACGAGGCGAACCGGGGGAACUGAAACAUCUAAGUACCCCGAGGAAAAGAAAUCAACCGAGAUUCCCCCAGUAGCGGCGAGCGAACGGGGAGCAGCCCAGAGUCUGAAUCAGCUUGUGUGUUAGUGGAACGGUCUGGAAAGUCCGACGGUACAGGGUGAUAGUCCCGUACACCAAAAUGCACAGGUUGUGAACUCGAAGAGUAGGGCGGGACACGUGGUAUCCUGUCUGAAUAUGGGGGGACCAUCCUCCAAGGCUAAAUACUCCUGACUGACCGAUAGUGAACCAGUACCGUGAGGGAAAGGCGAAAAGAACCCCGGCGAGGGGAGUGAAAAAGAACCUGAAACCGUGUACGUACAAGCAGUGGGAGCACCUUCGGGUGUGACUGCGUACCUUUUGUAUAAUGGGUCAGCGACUUAUAUUCUGUAGCAAGGUUAACCGUAUAGGGGAGCCGCAGGGAAACCGAGUCUUAACUGGGCGUUAAGUUGCAGGGUAUAGACCCGAAACCCGGUGAUCUAGCCAUGGGCAGGUUGAAGGUUGGGUAACACUAACUGGAGGACCGAACCGACUAAUGUUGAAAAAUUAGCGGAUGACUUGUGGCUGGGGG
rnacentral:rRNA from 1 species